rnacentral:lncRNA from 1 species
ACGGAAUGUUUCGAGUUGUUUGCGAUAUUCCCCCUAGAAUCGGCAAUUCUGUGUGAAAGUCGUCGAUUUUCCCGUAGGGUGGGGAUGUACUAAGAUUUUGCGAUAUUCCCAUGGAAUCGACGACUUUGUGCAGAAAUUGUCGAUUUUCCCGUGGUAUGGGAAUAUCUUUGAAGAUUUAGGGCUAUAUCUGAAAAUAUCUUCUAUUUUGGAAAUAACAUAUUCGAUUUUUCCUUACGAUUUCCACUUAUUUAGAAAAUAAGAUAUUCAUAAAUCUUUUCUUCGUAAUUUUCAGAUUUUGUGGAGGGUUGUAAUUUUUUCAAAGAUUAUAAAUAGUGGUCGGAUUAUUUUAAUCCUCACUUAAUCCACUCACAAAACCAUAGAGCAAUUGUCGAUUUCCAGCACUUUACACCUUCAAAUCGGCGAUAUCAUGGCUUCCUCGUGAAUAAACCCUAGCUCUCCCCCAAGCAGUCGAAAAUCGACGAUUUCGCCUUGGAGCAGAGCCUUUUUGACACAAUCAACCAGGUUGAAUCUUUGAUAUCAUCCUUCGCCGAGGGUUCAACUCAAGAAGGAGAGGAAUCGGCGAAUCUGAAGGUUUGAAUCACCGACGUCCGACCCAGCCGAGGUCGAAUUAAUUCUGAGUGCGGCUAGGCACAUAUGCUAAGUGUUACCUCCUCUGUGCGGUCGAUGAUUUCCCCUGUGAAAUCAAUGAUUCCCGCGAGUGAGGCUACGCCAAUGUCGGCGAUUAAGGCCGCCCGUAGGAGAAAUCACCGCCCUUGGGGAAUCGGUGAUUGUGCCACCUAAAUCGACAAUUGUUUCUCAUCCUGAACCGACACUUCUGCUUAUAGCGCCCCCUCGCCUCCGAAUGUUAUCAUCACAGAGAAGGGGGAAAUCAUAACUGAAGCGAACACUGAGGUUCACAAACGUAAAGCUUCAGGUGUAUGGAGCCACGUACAAUCUACGUAUGCUCUCCACGUAGGAUAGAUAGUUUUUUAUAACAGAAAUGUAACUAAUUACAUAUAUAAAUACAGUUCAAAUGUAAUUACAGAGCAAUACAAUUUGAUUCAGUUAACUACACUUCAUGUCUU